GGCCUGGAAGACGACAGCAAGAAGACGAGCAAAUAAGUAAGUGAAAUGGUUAUUGUUUAAUUUUGCCUCGUAAACCUUUCGAUGUGUCAUUUGGUUAGGCCACUUACUUCUUUCUCGUCUUCUUGCCGUCUUCUUCUGUGCC